GCCAGACUCCUACGGGAGGCAGCAGUGGGGAAUAUUGCACAAUGGGGGGAACCCUGAUGCAGCGACGCCGCGUGAGUGAAGAAGUAUCUCGGUACGUAAAGCUCUAUCAGCAGGGAAGAAAAUGACGGUACCUGACUAAGAAGCCCCGGCUAACUACGUGCCAGCAGCCGCGGUAAUACGUAGGGGGCGAGCGUUAUCCGGAUUCACUGGGUGUAAAGGGAGCGUAGACGGCCAUGCAAGCCAGGGGUGAAAGCCCGGGGCCCAACCCCGGGACUGCCCUUGGAACUGCAUGGCUGGAGUGCGGGAGGGGGAGGCGGAAUUCCUGGUGUAGCGGUGAAAUGCGUAGAUAUCAGGAGGAACACCGGCGGCGAAGGCGGCCUGCUGGACCGCGACUGACGUUGAGGCUCGAAAGCGUGGGGAGCGAACAGGAUUAGAUACCCCCGUAC
rnacentral:rRNA from 1 species